UAAGGUUGUGCGUUUACCACUGCGCUUCCCCCGUACAGUCACAAAUCCGUCCUUAAUUUCCCCCGGCUGCACGGGGCUCGCUGGGGGGCUAACUGCGCUAGCAAUCUUACUACUGCAAGCACGACCUGCGGACCCUGCCACUACCUGGCUAUAGCUCGGACUAGCUUUCGUCUCUAGAGUGCAGAGCCGUGCUUCUAGCUCAGAAACCCUGGUCUCCAACCCUGAGACUAAGCUACACCAGUGCCAUAUAUUUAGAGAGUCACGACACUCCCAUAGGGAUCCAUUAUACGAUUUUACUUCCGGGUACUUCCGGGUUAUGGAGCCUUGGAUAGUUACAAACAUCGCAUUUGACAUGGCGGACACCAUUCAUUUGAACGGCAGGCUGUCAAGUAUAUUCGGAGAGGCCCUUUGUGACAUACACUUAUCUGUCAUGUGUUGCAUUUAUAUAUGAUAUACAUCAUGCUGGUGCCUGCUAAUGGUGACACCUCCUGGAUGCGACUGGUGGCUGUGGCGACUGAGGGAGACUGGUGGCUGUAGACAGUGUGCUGGGAAUAAAGAGGGCAAAUUCACCAAUGGAGAGGAGAAAGGUAUUUGGCUCUGGCCCUGUUGUUGUGACCUUUGCUUUGAUUGAAUUCUCAAUCGCAGCCUAAUCUGCUCCACAACAUUGGAGGAUUCCAUGAGGGAAUCAUGCGUUGCCAAACGGAACAGCUGCUCGACAUCCUUUAAGAGAGUGAAGACCUCAUCCGAUGGCCGGUAUAAACUCUUUCAUCUGCAGCAGGACGGCACUCUGACUCUCUGUGUUGGUAUUGAUAGGUGCUUCAACCAAUGCACACUGGCAUUGGUUGCAGAGUGAGAAGCUGAUGACCCUAUUCACUAUGCAUCCUGCCAGAUGGUAAAGGACACAUGACUCUGUCUUUGUAAAUUCAGGUGGUGAUACUUCUGUCAGCUGCUCAAUACUCACAACAUCAGAAGCACUGUAGCUACAGGUUCUGAUGUCGAGGAAGUCUGCUAUGGGUUCUGAAGCGUCAUCCAUAUUCUUCUUCAUUUGAAAUUUUUUUUUGUUUUGUUUUUUAAGAGCUCUCUCUGCUCUCCUCAUUAUUUUCUCCCUUGUAAGUUCCUUCAUUAAUUCUUCCACAGUUGCCAUUUUGCCUGACAGCGUGGUCCCUGGCGCAUCUGGGCCUAGUGUUGUGGCGCCACCGCUGGUUCCUGAUUGGUCGGCACCCGGCUCAUCCACCCCUGGAUCACCUGGCCUGGAUACGUCAUUGUCAUUGUGCUCACUUUCGCCCAACCUUCCCACCUCAAUUUCUCCCUGAAUGUCUGUAACAAUAACAAGGCAUUCUUAAUUUUAUAUGCAGUCAGUGUUUUUACAUUUGCACCUAUUGUCAUCUCCAAAGUAAGGGUACAUUACCCCCCUAAAGGGAAAAAAAAAAUAACGGACAUUACUGUUACAUGAAUCAAAUCAUCUGCCACAAUCAGAAACUGCUAUGGCAUUGCCAUGUGUCAACAGUCUGGUGAUAUCAUGGAGUUGGUUCUGCUUUGCUGUUGUAUCCACCAGAAAUGUUUAGUUAUAGGUGAAAAUUAAAUGCAUAAAUAAAGCUAAAUUAUGAAGUAACUAACAAUGAAGUAGAUCGAAAUUUUGUGUGUAAAUCCCAGGACAAUUCCUGACCUCUUGUAUUUGAAGCUGAAUGUAUUAAUAUGAAAAAUGUAAUUAUCUUAUUAGGAGUGUAGUUUAUCCUUGAAUUACUUGGCAUGGGAAAUGUUGUUGACAGCUGGUCUGUAUCAUACCCAAGUUUAACCUGGUGCAAUAUGUAUGGUCCGUUUGAAUUUUGGUUGGAGGCACACUCCUAAAGGGAAGUUUCCUCCUCUUUGGCUUCGAACGAUGAAUGAAAAUGGUUGGGACAGCAUCUGGCCUCAAUUUUAAUGUGUGCCCUACUUUAGUUGGCGUAAACUGGUCCUCCUCAAAGUGUUCCUGAUGUUUGGUUCGCAAGAUCAGUUUCCAUUCUACUUUAAAUUUAUUAUUAUUUUUUAAAGUCAUAAUACCGUGACUUACAUGACAGAGUUUAUAGUUGUUGCUGGCCCCCUUCAAUUUCAGAUUUUUACGGCUGACCAUUGCCAGCCAUCGUUUCUGCCGGUCUUUGUCCUUCGGGAAACCAUACAUUCGGUAGCCCUUUUCGGACCGAUUGGUGCAUCCAAAAGCUGCACAACCAACCAUCACGAUCUCUAAAAUGUUAGGUGUGAACACUGAAUCAUGACACCAAUUUUACCUAUUUAAUAAAAAAUAAAUAUUACUGUAAUAUUAAAUAUUUUCUUUAUCAAAGGGUAAUACGUUAUGCAAUAUGUUACCACAGGUAAGUGUAUGAAGAAAAUCUGGGCAUUCG